rnacentral:tmRNA from 1 species
AGAAUUGACUAAACUAAUCGAAGCCUUUAUAAUAAGCAAUGCCUUAACUGGCUAUGGUAAUAAACGUUGUUUGGAAUAGAAGUAUCGGACCCGGGGGCAGUACCCGGCGCCUCCACCAUAAAAUUUUAUGGGGGCGAAUUAGCAUCGACGGGCUUAAUAAAGAAACGAUUUUUACCCAGUAUGAUUCCGCUGAAAACUAUAUUAUAGUUUUUUGGGUCAAAAAAAGUAAAUGCAAAUGAUAAUAAUCAACGCAUGAAGGCUACUGACACUGCGCUUCUAGCUAUGCCUAAGUAUAGCUUUGCGCCUGCUGCUUACGCUUAGAACAGUAGCCCGAUAGGGCUUUGGGGGUUUGCCUAGUAACAGAAAAACCCCCAA